rnacentral:tRNA from 1 species
GGUCCUGUGGUGUAGUGGUUAUCACGUCUGCUUUACACGCAGAAGGUCGCCAGUUCGAUCCCGGCCAGGUCCU